rnacentral:rRNA from 1 species
CAGCACCUCAAGUGGUCAGGAUGAUUAUUGAGCCUAAAGCAUCCGUAGCCUGCUUUGCCAGUUUUCGGUUAAAUCCAUACGCUCAACGUAUGGGCUGCCGGGAAUACUGCAGCGCUAGGGAGUGGGAGAGGUAGACGGUACUCGGUAGGAAGGGGUAAAAUCCUUUGAUCUAUUGAUGACCACCUGUGGCGAAGGCGGUCUACCAGAACACGUCCGACGGUGAGGGAUGAAAGCUGGGGGAGCAAACCGGAUUAGAUACCCGAGUAGUCC